rnacentral:rRNA from 1 species
AACAGGAUUAGAUACCCUGGUAGUCCACGCCGUAAACGAUGUCGACUUGGAGGUUGUGCCCCUGAGGCGUGGCUUCCGGAGCUAACGCGUUAAGUCGACCGCCUGGGGAGUACGGCCGCAAGGUUAAAACUCAAAUGAAUUGACGGGGGCCCGCACAAGCGGUGGAGCAUGUGGUUUAAUUCGAUGCAACGCGAAGGACCUUACCUACUCUUGACAUCCAGAGAACUUAGCAGAGAUGCUUUGGUGCCUUCGGGAACUCUGAGACAGGUGCUGCAUGGCUGUCGUCAGCUCGUGUUGUGAAAUGUUGGGUUAAGUCCCGCAACGAGCGCAACCCUUAUCCUUUGUUGCCAGCGGUUCGGCCGGGAACUCAAAGGAGACUGCCAGUGAUAAACUGGAGGAAGGUGGGGAUGACGUCAAGUCAUCAUGGCCCUUACGAGUAGGGCUACACACGUGCUACAAUGGCAUAUACAAAGAGAAGCGACCUCGCGAGAGCAAGCGGACCUCAUAAAGUAUGUCGUAGUCCGGAUUGGAGUCUGCAACUCGACUCCAUGAAGUCGGAAUCGCUAGUAAUCGUGGAUCAGAAUGCCACGGUGAAUACGUUCCCGGGCCUUGUACACACCGCCCGUCACACCAUGGGAGUGGGUUGCAAAAGAAGUAGGUAGCUUAGCCUUCGGGAGGGCGCUUACCACUUUGUGAUUCAUGACUGGGGUGAAGUCGUAACAAGGUAACC